GCGGGUAUAGUACAGCGGUAGUAUGUGUGCUUCCCAAGCACAAGACGGCAGUUCGACUCUGCCUACCCGCACCA
rnacentral:tRNA from 1 species